rnacentral:rRNA from 1 species
GAUGAACGCUGGCGGCGUGCCUAAUACAUGCAAGUCGAGCGAACAGACGAGGAGCUUGCUCCUCUGACGUUAGCGGCGGACGGGUGAGUAACACGUGGAUAACCUACCUAUAAGACUGGGAUAACUUCGGGAAACCGGAGCUAAUACCGGAUAAUAUAUUGAACCGCAUGGUUCAAUAGUGAAAGACGGUUUUGCUGUCACUUAUAGAUGGAUCCGCGCCGCAUUAGCUAGUUGGUAAGGUAACGGCUUACCAAGGCAACGAUGCGUAGCCGACCUGAGAGGGGGAUCGGCCACACGGGAACUGAGACACGGUCCAGACUCCUACGGGAGGCAGCAGUAGGGAAUCUUCCGCAAUGGGCGAAAGCUUGACGGAGCAACGCCGCGUGAGUGAUGAAGGUCUUCGGAUCGUAAAACUCUGUUAUUAGGGAAGAACAAAUGUGUAAGUAACUAUGAACGUCUUGACGGUACCUAAUCAGAAAGAAACGGCUAACUA